UGUGAAUCCAAUAUCAUACUGACCACUGAUGACGUUGUGCUGACCAGUGGAUACAGAAGUGGACAGGACAAGCUGAAGCCGUUCAGAGAUUCCUCCACAACACAUCUAGGUAAAUGCAGCCAUGGUGGUCCAUAUGACGUGAGCGGCCUGACCUCGGCUGCCCUUGGGGGGAUAAACAAAGACUCCGCCCUGCCGUCACUAUCCCCCCACCACAAGCUACACCAGGCAGCGUCGGAGGCAGCCAUAGAACAUACGGCGUACUUCUUUCACGACAUUGAACAUGGUAUCCGUGCUGCCAUAGAAGAUUCCAAGUACCAGCAACUGUUACAACUGAAGCUGAGAGACCCUUUCCUCGUUGUUAUAGACACCUUCCUCAAUGCGUAACGAACUAUCGCACAUACAAUCCUGGGUUGGUACCAACUUGGUAUCUUCGUCUGCAGAACUAGGCAACGCGUCCAACUUUCUCAUAGCCACUUUCAGAUGUAUGUAUUAAAAUCUCUAACGUCCUAAUACAGCAUUUGAUAAUGCUUGGCGUGGGUGUACAGCGUAUCGUUGUCUGUUGUCACGAGUGUACAUUUGUCGUUCCUUGUUGACACAGGUAUACGGUGUGUCAGUCUGUUGGGUGGGAGUACGGUGUGCCACAGUCUGUUUAUAUGGAUGUUCGAUGAGUUACAGCCUGUUGUGUUGAUGUUCGGUGUGUCACAGUCAGUUGUAUGGGUGUACAGUGUGUAACAGUCUGUUGUGUGAGUAUACGGUGUGUUACAGUCUGUUGUGUGGGUGUACGGUGUGUUACAGUCUGUGGUGUGGGUGUACGGUGUGUUACAGUCUGUUGAUAUGGGUGUACGGUGUGUCACAGCCUGUUGUGUGGGUGAACGGUGUGUCACAGCCUGUUGUGUGGGUGUACGGUGUGUCACAGUCUGUGGUGUGGGUGUACGGUGUGUUACAGUCUGUUGUGUGGGUGUACGGUGUGUUACAGUCUGUUCAUAUGGUUGUACGGUGUGUUACAGUCUGUUGAUAUGGAUGUACGGUGUGUCACAGCCUGUUAUGUGGGUGUACUGUGUGAUACAGUCUGUGGUGUUGGUGUACGGUUGGUUACAGUCUGUUGUGUUGGUGUACGUUGUGUUACAGUCAGUUGUGUUGGUGAACGGUGUGUCACAGUCAGUUGUGUUGGUGUACGUUGUG